UGCCCGUGAUGUGAUAAAAUAUUUGCUACUCUUGAUGGUAUUUCUUACCAUCUGAUGAUCAUUUCCACCGAGAUCUCUGAGGCA